rnacentral:rRNA from 1 species
CCUACGGGGGGCUGCAGUGGGGAAUAUUGGUCAAUGGGCGCGAGCCUGAACCAGCCAAGUAGCGUGAAGGAUGACUGCCCUACGGGUUGUAAACUUCUUUUAUAAAGGAAUAAAGUGAGGCACGCGUGCCUUUUUGUAUGUACCUUAUGAAUAAGGAUCGGCUAACUCCGUGCCAGCAGCCGCGGUAAUACGGAGGAUCCGAGCGUUAUCCGGAUUUAUUGGGUUUAAAGGGUGCGUAGGUGGGUGGUUAAGUCAGUUGUGAAAGUUUGAGGCUCAACCGUAAAAUUGCAAUUGAUACUGGCAGCCUUGAGUACAGUUGCGGUAGGCGGAAUGUGUGGUGUAGCGGUGAAAUGCUUAGAUAUCACGAAGAACGCCGAUUGCGAAGGCAGCCUACUAAGCUGCUACUGACAUUGAUGCUCGAAAGUGUGGGUAUCAAACAGGAUUAGAUACUCUUGUAGUC